CAACAUCCUGCAAGAAUGACCACGAGUCUGAACAGAGAGAGGACCUUCAAACUGCUAAUGUUAGCGUAGCUUUAAACAAAGUAACAUGUGAGCAGCUUAGCGUGCGGCGCUGCGUUCAAAUACAGUCAGAGUCAAAUCUGCUGAGUGAAGCUGAGAGAAGGUAGACAUACAUGUUUCAUCAGUGACGGUCUGUUCUUCCUCACACAGUUUAAACAUCUCUUCAUUAAGAGUUCAAAGGUCACACUGAGGCGAUAACCAGAGACACAUAAAAACAGACCAGGUAACGAGUCACAGGAAAACUGUUCCACUGCUGUGAUGUCACUCAGGUACACUGUGAUGUCACCCAGGUACACUGUGAUGUCACUCAGGUACACUGUGAUGUCACUCAGGUACACUGUGAUGUCACCCAGGUACACUCUGCCAUCGUCCCCGUGUCUCCGUUACAUUAAUCAGGUCCUCUCGUGUGCCUAUAAAUGAGUUUGUGUGUUUGUGUCAUUUGUCAGGUCCUCUCGUGUGCCUAUAAGUGAGUUUGUGUGUUUGUGUCAUUUAUCAGGUCCUCUCGUGUGCCUAUAAGUGAGUUUGUGUGUUUGUGUCAUUUG